GGGAUGAUUGCUUGUCAGAAGAAACUGCCUUUUUCAUUCUCUGUGAAAUCGGUAUGUCAUCAUCGUCGUCGUCAUCACAUUUCUUUUGUUCCUUCUUUACAACAGAUUCAUGCUUGACACUGACAACAGAAGAGGAAGCCAACACUUUUGGUUUUUUUAAAGACGACUCGGCCAGAUUAUUGCUGCCAAGAGGCCGUUUAUUUGAAGAUUUUGAUGGCUCAGUAUCUGGCUCCUUCUUGGCGGACCCAUUCGGCUUAAGUCUAGCAUUCAAAGGCUUAUCAUCGUCAGAAUCCGAGUCAGGCAGCUUUUUACCUUGUAAACCAUCGCCAGAUUUAGCUUGGAACCUAGCAACCAAAGUUUUGUCAUCAUCAGAAUCAUCAAGGUCUUUCUUGAUGUGUUUUUCUAUCUUUUGCGAUGAUGGCAUAGGCACAGGGGAUUUCAGCACUCUAGAAGCAAGUGAAGGCUUUUCUUCUGCAUCAGUUGGCUUCUUCGUUGGUGCACCAGAAUUGGACUUGGACUGAAACCUAGCAGCCAAUGGCUUCCCAUCUUCUGAAUCAUCUGAAUCAUUCUCAACAUCAUCCUUCACCUUAUUUCCAGCAGGCAUAGUACUUGGAGAUCCAAGAACUUCCAUCUCGGGCAGAGAAGUGCUUCUUUGAGUUUCCACACAAGCAGUAGAAAAUUCUGUCCUUGCUGGUUUAUGAUUAUCAGAAUUUUCAACUCCGACAUUCGACUUGUCCUGAAUUAUUUUUUUCGUCUCCUUGCUCUCCGGCUUGCUUGAUGAUUGUUUGAGCGUGUUUUUCGCAUGCAUGGAGGUACUGUUCUGAAAUGCCAUAUUAACUGGAUUAGUUCUAGAAAAUAAUGGCUUAUCAUCAUCAGAAUCAUUAGCCUUUGCAGGUCCAGCGCGAGACUUCUCUAAAUGGGUGUUUUCCAAGUCUCGACUUGGUGUUCUAUUUUCUGAAGAAGGCCUGGACUGUGAAGCCAGAGAACCUUUG
rnacentral:misc_RNA from 1 species